rnacentral:snRNA from 1 species
CCAGAUAAAAGAGGUCAUUCUGUAAUCAAGCGAAUACAAGUAGCCAAACUCCCUUGCUAGAAAUUCUACACAAUCUCACAAAGUCUGUUUUGUAGAAGAACUAAGGGUAGUGUCCAAGACUCUGGAUACAGCCAAAUGAGGAACUGCAUGUGGCAGUCUGCUCUUCAUU